CAGUAGCCGCGGGAAUACGAAGGGUGCAAGCGUUACUCGGAAUUACUGGGCGUAAAGCGUGCGUAGGUGGUGGUUUAAGUCCGUUGUGAAAGCCCUGGGCUCAACCUGGGAAUUGCAGUGGAUACUGGGUCACUAGAGUGUGGUAGAGGAUAGUGGAAUUUCCGGUGUAGCAGUGAAAUGCGUAGAGAUCGGAAGGAACAUCUGUGGCGAAGGCGACUAUCUGGGCCAACACUGACACUGAGGCACGAAAGCGUGGGGAGCAAACAGGAUUAGAGACCCGUGUAGUCCCUGUCUCUUAUAU
rnacentral:rRNA from 1 species